rnacentral:lncRNA from 7 species
GGGUCACGGAGUGAUUUCUCUGUAGGAGAAACUGCAAAAAGGAUUCUACUGAGCAGAGCGUCUGGAAAACCAGAGGGCAGAUCCUGGGAAUCAUUGGUCAGAUUAAAGACUGCCUGCAGAAAAUCAGAAGAUUGAAGAUGAAAAAGAAGAUGCUUUUCUUCAUCAGCUGUUGCCUUCUCCCGUGACUCGAACAAGUGUGUCACAAUAGAGAUCCACAACAGGCUGAAAAGACUGUACCUGAAGCCCAUGUUCAUAACACGAUGGCCUGGAGAUGCAAGUUUCAGUAUCCACUGUGUAAAGGCUUAUAUCAGAGUAGGUACAGAAAAUAAGGAGGUGUAAUUUUACAUUUGAAACUCCCAUUCACUUGAUGUUUACUGCAGAAAAAGAUUUGGUAACAACAUAAACACCUCCUGCUGCCAAUAGUGUUCUAGCAUCAGAAAUACUUUUUCUGCUCUCCCAAAUCUGCUCUGAGUGUACUCCUAUUUAGCAAGAAAAGAAUGAAUGGAAAGAAACUAAGGUAGGAGUUACUCCACUAAUGCAGAUUCUUCAGGCAAAUAAGAGAGAAGAAUGAGGGGGAAAAGGAAAGGAAAAGAAUGAAUUCAGAAAAAAUGAAAAGAAUUAAGAAAGUAAGGCAGAAAACUGUAACCAUAUACAAUGUCUGUAUAAAACAUUUCAGUAUUAUAUGUAACGUUAAGAAAUUAGAGUACUUAUUAAAUGAAGUGAGCAAAGGAGAAAAAGAGAAAUGCAUAGGAAAGAACAGAGGAAAUGGUAGUGGGCUGGAGGAAGAAUCCCAGUGAAACAUUAAGCCUUAAACUUUUUUGAAUAUGUAUCAUUUCUAUUGAUACUUUUUUUCCCACUUUCUUUCCCACUUUAUACAGAGACAUUUUUAAUCUAUGAGCCUGACACCAUUUGUAAACUCUGCUUUGUCUAUUUUAACUUGCAGGGUAGGCUUUAUUAGCUUUAAUGCAUUGUGGAAAGGUCAAAACUGAACUCCAGGUUGCCAGUGCUGCCCACAGCCAAAGUUAUCUGCUUCCCACAUGUUAUACUGCUAUUUCUGCAUUGUGGUUUCAUUUUCCUGAAGUCAAUGAAAGAUGAGUAUUGACACAUUAUCUGUAGAUACUGUGUAAAGCAGAAGUCAAUUUGACCAGUACUGUUGAAAUCAUUUGCCACUCUCAAGCUAGAAAGCAUGUAGGACAGCUACUGCUGAGGAUGUUUUGUAGGAAAAAAACAACCAACAGUUGUAAGAAUGCCAGCGUGAACUACAGGAGAAAAUAUUCAUAUUUAAAUGGAAAAAUAAUUUUUCUUCAUAGAAAUAACACACAUUGUUUUUCUCACUAUACAUUCUGUAUCUAAAGGAAUACUCUCUUACUUUCUAUAAAGUAACUUUAAAAGUACUGUAAGAAUUACUAGAGCAUUCUAUGUAACACACUGUAGGGAAUCUGCUUUAGCAGAGAGUUGACUCCAGAGUUUCCUUCCAACCCCUACAAUUCUGUGAUUCUUCUUGAUAGGACUUUUUCCAAUGCUGGCUUAUUUAUAAAUGAAUAUUCAAAAGACAAAGUAAUACUAAACAUGACAUCAGCUCUUUUUUUUUGUUUUGUUUUCCUGGAGCUUAGAAGAAGGCCAUCCUUUCCUCCCAGCAACUUUCUAUUCCCUACAAUGAUGAAACAAGUUAAUAAGCUUGACUAUUCCCAUUUGCCUUCCUUGUAGGACAUGAAACAUAGAUCUAAUUUUUAUACGUCUGUUGGAAUGUGAGUAUGCAUCCAAAAGUUAUUUCAGAAAGCUUCACCUCCUCAUGGAAUAAUUAAUCUGAACAAUAAUCCCAUGUAAAAAUUACACUAGUGCAAGUAAAAUAUACUACCUUCUGCACAAAGUAGCUUCUUUUCCACUGUGCUGCUAGAAUUUAAUGAAAUAAGAGGAAAGUAAUGCAGCAAUCUGCAUUUGAAAGCUGAAUAAUCAGUCCCCGUGGAUACAGGCAUGUAUGGCAAUGCUAAGAGGAAGCUCUGAUUGCCCGUGCUUACUUAAAUGCACAGUUUUAAACAUAAUUCCUCAAAGGAAAUCUCUCAGUAUUAGAUCUGUGGAGCAAUCCAUCCCUUUAUUGCCUUUCUGUGUAUGUUUGAUAUGCCUUUGUAAGUACAUGACAUUGUGCUUAUGGGAACACUGAGAAUAAAAUAAUUCAAAAGAGAUACAUUAAAAUGCUGAGAAGCUAUUUAAGCUCUUCUCUAGCGAAGCACCUGCAGGAGUGACCUGAAUUACUGGCAUAACUCUGCCAGU